rnacentral:rRNA from 1 species
UACAGGGGGGGCAAGCGUUGUUCGGAAUUACUGGGCGUAAAGGGCUCGUAGGCGGCCAACUAAGUCCGACGUGAAAUCCCAAAGCUUAACUUUGGAACUGCGUCGGAUACUGGAUGGCUUGAAUUCGGGAGAGGGAUGCAGAAUUCCAGGUGUAGCGGUGAAAUGCGUAGAUAUCUGGAGGAAUACCGGUGGCGAAGGCGGCAUCCUGGACCGACGAUUGACGCUGAUGAGCGAAAGCGUGGGGAGCGAACAGG